rnacentral:lncRNA from 1 species
GCUGAAUUUUGACGUAAUUUCUCUUGAUAUAGCUAGCAGGUGGUAGAGGUGUAUUUGAAAGUCAGCAGCAUUCUGACAGCGAUUAGAAUGUCCUCCGUCUGCUAGUCUUCUUGAUUCUUAAAUUCUGUGGAGCUCAAAUAGACAACAAAGCUUGUGGAACUAAUUAAGUGUUAGCAUAAAUAUCUAGCCUUCAUCAUGUUGAGCUUCCUUAAUAAAUGUUAUUU